CAACAAGGGACCGAAUUCCACAUAUUCCCAUGCGUCAUUUAGUGUUUUUUUUUUAAAAUGCAAUUAAUUGAACAACAAAAAAAGUCCUUAAAAUGAAUUCAAACAGCAGGAAAGCCACAGAGUACGCCUCCUCUUUUCCUCACCUGCGAAACGCCUUUUCACUUUCCAUCUCUCUCUGUUAAACUUUUCUUCUUAAACAUCUCAUUCCCACAUCUUUACCUUCUCUCUUACACACCAUGUAAACAUAGACCUUCUUCCCAAAACAAGAUCAAAACACCUACCCACACCUGAAAAGCAUCUUAAAUACCCCUCAAGAACACUUGAAUGUUCUUGAGCGAUUUUCCAGAGAUUUGCCAACCCAACACGACCUCUGAAACCUCAAACAUCAAUCCUACCCCAAAUUCGAAUCACAAACGUGAUUCUAACGUUAGAUGCUCCAAAUGAACACAAUUGAAAUAGAUCAGAAUUCACGGCGAUGAAAACAAACUUUUCUCAUUUCAAACAUAAACCUUAGAUUUUCGUUUCAGACACUCUCAAACUCGGAAUCGAACCUCACAUGCUCAAAGAAUUAUGAAUUUUCAUAAAUACCACCCGUAUAAUCUAACCGGAUCUGCAGCGUGUAAGAAUAACGGCCUCUCCUUCAAUGAUUUGGACUCCUUUAUUUAUAGAGGGAACAAUCCGGCGUUGAUGUUAUGCAUGUAUUAUGUGCUGGCCGAAAUAAUUCGUUAGAGAGGGAUCUCAUAUAAGAUCUUGUGUGGACCAAAUAUUCAUUCCCAAUUUUGUUAAGAGCAGCCCUGUUUUCGUCUGUAGUGAGUGAGUAUUUUAUGUGGUCCCACGGAUCUGGUAUUAUCCUAAUGAUUUUAACUGUUGUAAAAAUGUGGAUUGAUUGCUUACCGCUGUGAAAUUAACUAAUGUUGCAGUUUUGGCAUCAUCAUCUUCUAAGUUUAAAGAUUGUUAAAGUUAUUCUUGACCGAUCACGUUCUGCAGAGGGAAUUUGGAUCAUGAUAUUCUAAAUGAUCUCUACAAUUUGAUAGGUUGUAAUUAGAACCCCUCUGCGUCAUUACGUGGAUGAUACUGAGGUAACUAUUGACCUUCUUUGGGCCGGACGACACUGGUACCUUGACUGGCUAGAGGGCCUCCUCAAGAAAGUGAGUGAAUUUCUUAGUUUAAUGGGCAUCAACUGUGGGUUUGGAUUGUUCUACUCAAUAACAAAGGGCCAAAAAGGAAGCAUCAAGGCAAGAUGUUUGUAGGGCUUGCUUAAUUGGAGAUCCUUGGUACUAACUUCUCCCUUUCUUGAUAGUUCCUGACGGAAAAAGGUGGAUUUUAAGCGGAAAGUGUUUGACCAAAGGUUGCUCCAUUUGAAAUUUUGAAAGGGAGUUUGAUGACACGUCUAAUGGAGUUCUGAAGAAUCGGAACGGGUCGAUGUUCACCAUGGAUGGAACAUUCUAAAUGUGUUUUAACAUAAAUUAUGAUUCCUGUGUUGAGUUUCUCUUUGUAAUUCUAUGUAACUUUUAAUGUAUUGUUAAAUGUAUUUAUUGGAGAACAACUUUUGAAAAAUAUAUUGCUUUCUUCUUGAAUUUA